rnacentral:rRNA from 1 species
GAUUUCUGACUUAUCAUGCUAGCUGGCCCGCCACGUUAUGUGUGUGAGUGCCGGCUUGGCUGAAGUCAUCCGUUCUGUGAAUUGCACAACUGUCCUUCACUGGAUUGGUUGUGUAGUUCCAGAUCUUUUACUUUGAAAAAAUUAGAGUGUUUCAAGCAGGCAUUAUUGCUAUGAAUACAUUAGCAUGGAAUAAUAAUUUAGGACUUCGGUUCUAUUUUGUUGGUGUUCUAGAACUGAAGUAAUGAUUGAUAGGGAUAGUUGGGGGUGCUAGUAUUCAAUGGCCAGAGGUGAAAUUCUCGGAUUCAUUGAAGACUAACUUAUGCGAAAGCAUU